GCAGAAAAGAAAGAAAGAAAGAAAGAAAUGUUACAGUGUCACAACCUCCACAGGAACUAGUUUCUCUUUAUGUGAAAGGAAUCUGGAUUUACUUCAUAGCCUAUUCAACGGGGAUGAGGGCACGCCCUUGAGCUACUGAAAUAGCUAAGGCGUGGGAAGAGGAAGAGACUAGUCUCUGGUCGGUGGCAGAGGAGAAGGAGGAAGAGAAGAGGGGGGAGUUGAAGAGUUUCAACAUCCUCUGGUAGGACCCCCAGUAAGUAAACCAAGGCACCACCUGUCUGAGUAAUAAGGGAGCGAAGGUAAGGCCCCGUGGGGAAAGGGGUGUGGCUGCAUCUUUCUCCAAGGCCAGAUAAGCUGUGAGGGGCAAGGAUAUCACUGACCGAAUUUUUCCCAUUUCCUAUCUCCGUGCCCUGUUUCCCCAACACUCCAAGUUGGAAACGCCUCCGUCUUUUCUCUCCCCACCAUGGACCUCUUCUUGCUCCUGUGCUGUGUGGCCUUUUGUCUCUUGGGAACAGGCUCCGUGGAUGCUGGCAUUACCCAGACCCCAAGGAAUGGGAUUAUAGAGACAGGAAAGAGCAUUGUACUGGAGUGUUCUCAGACUAUGGAUCAUGCCUAUAUGUACUGGUAUCGACAAGACCCAGAACUGGGGUUACAGCUGGUCUACUUAUCCUACGGUACCAACAAUAUUAACAAAGGAGAGGUCUCCAAUGGGUACAGUGCCUCUCGAAAGGAGCGAGAGAAAUUCUCCCUGUUCCUAGAGACUGCCAUUCCCAAACAGACAGCUCUUUACUUCUGUGCCACCAGAGACUUUCACAGUGCUUCUUGGCUACCUGCUUUCUAUACAGAAAGACAGGCACAUUUGCUCAGAGGGGCACAGAAGGCUUCCCCCGUGUGAGAUGUGGGGAUCCUUAGAGGUCUCAGUAGUUCUGUGCUCCAUGUGCCUCAAUCUAAGCUUGAGGCCACAUUAGAUCAAUGUCCCUAGGCCAUGGGGUGACUGAAACCACAGGCUGGACUGAACCUAUCUCCCUGCCCACUGACACUCUUUAUGUAUUCUAGUGGGGCUAGCCCGAUAGUGUCAUUCUAGAAUGAACCUGACAUUUGUCAAUACCACCAUGAUUUUCUGUUUUUCUUU